CGAACCAUCUAGUAGCUGGUUCC
rnacentral:ncRNA from 3 species